UCGCGGCUUAUCACCGGCAGUCCCCUUAGAGUGCCCAACUUAAUGAUGGCAACUAAGGGCGAGGGUUGCGCUCGUUGCGGGACUUAACCCAACAUCUCACGACACGAGCUGACGACAGCCAUGCAGCACCUGUGUUCCCGCCAGCCGAACUGAAGAGCUACAUUUCUGUUGCUCAUACGGGACAUGUCAAAAGCUGGUAAGGUUCUUCGCGUUGCUUCGAAUUGAACCACAUGCUCCACCGCUUGUGCGGGCCCCCGUCAAUUCCUUUGAGUUUCAGUUUUGCGGCCGUACUCUCCAGGUGGGGCACUUCAUGCGUUAGCGCCGGUACUCUAAGGGUCGUUUUUCGGAGUACUUAGUGUUCAUCGUUUACGGCGUGGACUAC
rnacentral:misc_RNA from 1 species